rnacentral:rRNA from 1 species
CAACAGAGUUUGAUCCUGGCUCAGAACGAACGCUGGCGGCAGGCUUAAUACAUGCAAGUCGAACGGUUGUAGCAAUACAGCAGUGGCAGACGGGUGAGUAACACGUGGGAACCUACCUAGGGGUACGGAAUAACUCAGGGAAACUUGUGCUAAUACCGUAUACGACCUCAGGGUGAAAGAUUUAUCGCCCCUAGAUGGGCCCGCGUUGGAUUAGCUAGUUGGUGAGGUAAAAGCUCACCAAGGCGACGAUCCAUAGCUGGUCUGAGAGGAUGAUCAGCCACACUGGGACUGAGACACGGCCCAUACUCCUACGGGAGGCAGCAGUAGGGAAUCUUGGACAAUGGGCGAAAGCCUGAUCCAGCCAUGCCGCGUGAGUGAUGAAGGCCUUANGGUUGUAAAGCUCUUUCGCCAGGGAAGAUAAUGACGGUACCUGGAUAAGAAGCCCCGGCUAACUUCGUGCCAGCAGCCGCGGUAAUACGAAGGGGGCUANCGUUGUUCGGAAUUACUGGGCGUAAAGCGCACGUAGGCGGUUUCCAAGUUGGAGGUGAAAUCCCCGGGCUUUACC